GAUUUAAAACCACCUGGAUCCUGCGGUCGUCAGAGCAUCUCUCGGUCAAGACUGGGAGGGGCACAAGAGUUGGAACUGAUAUAUUCCUUAGGGUUGCUAAAUAAGGAACAAAAGAAGAGGGACAAAAGAAGAAAUUCAUGAAAUGUGACAGCACUGAAUUAAAUCAUUAAGGAAAUAAACAUAUUUUAACUGAA